AUUAUAUGAAUAAGCACCGGCUAACUCCGUGCCAGCAGCCGCGGUAAGUACGGGGGGUGCAAGCGUUACUCGGAAUCACGUGGGCGUAAAGAGCAUGUAGGCGGAUUGAUAAGUUUGAAGUGAAAUCCUAUAGCUUAACUAUAGAACUGCUUUUAGAAAACUGUUAAUCUAGAAUGUGGGAGAGGUAGAUGGAAUUUCUGGUGUAGGGGUAAAAUCCGUAGAGAUCAGAAGGAAUACCGAUUGCGAAGGCGAUCUACUGGAACAUUAUUGACGCUGAGAUGCGAAAGCGUGGGGAGCAAACAGGAUUAGAUACCCUGGUAGUCCACGCCCUAAACGAUGUACACUAGUUGUUGUGAGACUUGAUCUUGCAGUAAUGCAGUUAACACAUUAAGUGUACCGCCUGGGGAGUACGGUCGCAAGAUUAAAAACUCAAAGGAAUAGACGGGGAC
rnacentral:rRNA from 1 species